UCUCAGAAAAUCAGAGACGAUUUUUAAAAACCCAGGCGCGCGCGCGCACACACACACACACACACACACACACACACAGACACGCACGCACACGCACGCACACACGCUUCUGGGGGAAAAAGGAGGGAAAAGCCGAGAGAGGCCCGCUCCCGGCGCUCCCCCCGCCCGCACCCCAAAGUUGGCCAAGUUGGCAGCGCCUUACCCGGGAGGGCGGCGGCGUCCCCGGGGGCGCCGGGGUGGCAGAGGCGCAGCCCCCCGAGGAGCAGGGCGCAGCGCAGCAGUGGCUUAAAGCAUCUUCACAUCUCCUGUCCCCUUCAAGCCUGACAGAAACCCUGAGGAAGCCAAGGCCGAGGGCCUACUAGGGUACGAGAAGCAAAAAGAGAGAGCUGCCCGGGACUGGGCAGUGCAGACUGUCAUCUAUAACGCAAGAUGACAAGAUCGAUGGCUUAGGCAGCAUGAAGCAGAGCUGCAGCCCCAAGCAGCCUCUCCUCAUUCCUGAUCCAGACAGCAGGCUGCACUCACCAGCAGAUCCAGGUUUCAGCUCUCUCCCGCAGCCCUGGGCCCUCAGGUGAAAGACACAGCAAGUCACAAUAAGGUUCUCAGGUGAUGCUGCUGCUGCUGCUGCUGCUGCUGCUGCUGCUGCUGCUGGCGGGACCUGAGAUAGGCCUUCUGGAUUCAGCUGCAGGCAGGCAAUCUUCGGUAGAAGAAGGUGGCUGACUCUCACAGGACAGAAGUUGAUACUGAAUCUCAAGCCAGAGGGGAAAGAUCCCCAAAAGUCUGUAUCAGUUUUGUACUUCCCCUAGUGAGCAGAAAGGCUCUGACCCUCAACCAGCAAACUUGGGGGUUCCAGGACCAGCUCUUAAACUUACUAGAUCUUGUGAUCUUUUUCAAACCACGUUUCUGAUUUCCCUUUUAUGUGCCCGGCACUUAUAUACCUUAUUUCUCCUCUUGACUACAACCAUGCAAGGAGCUAACUCUGAAGCUUACAGAAGUGGAGGUAGGCCAGACCUAGCUCUAAGGCCCAGGCUCUUAAUAUCUACAUGAUUCUGCCUUAAGAAACUAAAACAGAAAAUCAUUUUACAAAGCAGGGACUCCCCAUACCCCAACUAGUUUGUGCAUCGCAUCUCUCUCCCACUCACCGGAGGCAGAAUUUAAUUACACACACAAAAAAAGCUUGAGUAAUUAGAAUAAUGAGUAAGGGAGGGAAGGAAAGACUCUCAGAAAGUAAAAAAUUGCCAGGGUAGGGUAGGUCAAGUUUGUUGCAGAAUUUGCUUCUUAGAAGUGCUAAUCCUUCUAAGCAAGGACCUGCUGCUUCUGGCUCUAGGAUUCGCCAAGUUAUUAUCUAAAUUAAGAAACACCAGUGCUCCCUGGAUGCUAAUCUCAACUGGAGGAAAACCGUCCUCCCUCGACUAGAAGGAAGCAAACAAACCUAAAAAGACAGCAAAUGUAUCCAGGCAGCCACAGAAGUGGGGUGCUCGAGGUUCCUACUGGAGGGUCUCUAUUUCAAGGUGCCCAUCUCAUGGCGGAAGAUUCAGAGACCAACUCCUCCCCCUCACGUCCCUGGGUUCCAUCCCUUCCUUGGCUCCGGGGCCUUCGGCCCUGGACUGUGAAUUGAUGGCUGGAACUUACCUACACUGGUAUAUUCCCACCAACACACACCGUCGUUCGCACAUCAGAGCUACAUAAGGGGUUGCACGAACAAAACAUUCCCGCCCAGCCUGCGUUGUCCCCUGGGACUCAGCCGGCUCCCAGGACCCUCUCUUGCAAGAGCUCUGUUUGCAGCAUGAGAACUAGAGUAAAACCAAGAGGCUGGGAAACUCACUUCUUAAAACUUAUUUUAAUGCCCUUCCCACCCGCCAAAUUAGGAAAGGCCAGAACAGUCUGGCGGGGUUUAAUUACAAAUGUGUUUUUUUGGUCAUUGUUUCAAGUCAAUCAACAUUGUGGCAGUCAGGGAUUAUCCUUGGAAAAAGUGAAACCCAUAUUAACAAAAUAUGCCAUGGAAGAACCCCUCUAAAUUCACCGACUACAAGUCCAGCAAAGCUCAGCAUUCUACAAUGUUCUCUGGGGUGUGGCCAUGCAGUGGACAGAGGCCUUCCCCACAUUCAACCAAGUCCAGUUCACUCCAGACACACCGAGGGCCCAGGGGAAGUGGGGGGAAGGGCAGCCCUUCCUUCAGGAUGGAGCAGAAAAGGCAGCUCAACAAAUAAAAUCCUAUGGUUUCAGUGACAAGCCCCCAAGGGGAAAAAAAAGAGGUGGGAAGUCAGAAGAGGGAAGACUUAAAGAUGCCACGUUCUUUGAAGCUUAAAAAAAAAAACGCGUGGAAAAAAAAUUCUGAAAGAUCAGUGAAUAUGAAGGAGGAAAAAAGGAAUGAAACUUAAUUGCUCUGCGUAAGUUUAAACACAAUCUCAACUUCAUCUCUUCACAUGCAGCCACCAUCCUUUCAAUGUGAUGCUCAACCACUGAGACCCAUGGAGAUGCUCUGCUUAGCAGCUUGAAAGCAAUGGUGAAAAAAGAAGUUUUACACACGUAUAUAUCACAUGUGUGGACAGACAUGCGUGUGUGUACAAAUACAGACGACAGUAACAUGGCUUUGGAAAGCUGGAGGCACCGAGCUCUCUGGGCGGACUUCCUUCCAGUAGGAGUUCACCAGACAAUACCAACCCAGGAACUUCUCUCUAACCGGAAAUGCUCCAUCUUCCCUUAAGAUCACCUGAUACGGGGGAGAGAAGAGGAUGUCCACAAAACCAACAAAGGUCCUCGAAAAUAUGUCAUCGGUGGCAUAUUUCACACGUAAAAUAAAUACUUGUCAGGGGUUAGCUACGAGCUCUCCACCCAGCCUUACUUCCCUCGUCCCUGGCCAGGGAACUUGCAUGCCUGAAUGCUGCAUCUUUAAAUAUUUCUGGCUGAGCCCUCUUGCCACAUAUGUCAGUAACAUUCCAAGCUGGCUACCACAUGUUCAGGCUCUGGCCUCCUUCCCUCUCUCGACCGCUCUGCUGUCUCACGGGCACGGCGAGGCACGCAGCUCCCAUUUCAGCUGGCCACACAGCGCAGAAACAACCAAGUUAAAAAAAGGAAGUUCUAAAAGAAUGUUCACAUUUGAAAUACCUAUUUCCUUGGAGACUGAUUUUAAACUGCAUGUGAGGAACCUAUGAAAGUGAGAGACAGAGUGUGUGCACACACGCACACGACACACAUGCCAGCACACACCCACAAAACAGGACUGGAGGUUGUUUCCUGCCAAAAGAUCUAACAGAGGAAAGCUUAUGUGCCGAUCAAAUUUUAAUAAGGUGGUUAACAAGAAAUGUACACCGUUUAGCAAGCACACAGAGACUGUGGAAGGAAGUCCUGAUCCCUGGAGCAUUUGGCUCCCCAAGCCCAUUUUCUGCCUACCUUUGGAACAGAUUCCAUAGGUACCACAUUCAGAGAAUCCAAGAGGACUGCAUGGACAGAUGAACCUUUAUUUAAAAAAAUAGCACUUCAAAUAAAUUAAAAGGGACAACCGUCAAGUGUUCAAAUUGUGAAGAAAUAGUUGAAAACCUAGAGACUCCAAGCUGCAGUCUUCUAGCCUCAUUCUUUGUCCAAUGGCAAAAACCGGCAGUCUCAACGCUCCCACUCAGCUUCCCUACUGAGACGAGGGAAGCAACUGCAAACAGGAGGCCAGACGGAGGAGAAAGCUGCAUCUGAUUGGAAUGAACAUUGCCACGUACUUGCUAAUACGGGUUUCACUUUAUGACCAAAUGUAUUCUUUCAAAAAUAAAAAAAGGGAGAGGGAAGCUGCAUGUUUUUAAAAACUGAAAUUAUUUAGGGAUAAAACACUAACUCUAGUGCCUUUAACGGGCAAUAGCAACUUUUUUUCCUCCGAAGUCAAACACCAUCCCCAGCUGAGCCUUUGUGCUACAAGCUUUUCAGGAGAUGUUACCUAAACUUUAUUAAAAGAAAAGAACAAGUUUAAAUAUAGACACUGGACUAGCCCAGUCUGUAUUUUCAAGUCCACAUUCUUCAUCUGAAGCACUGCAUCAGGGACCGCCCCCCCUGAGUCUGCAUGUUUUUCAAGUUCACAGUACAUGGAACCAGUUUUUCUUUUUAAUUUUUUCCUCACUCAGAGCAGCCACACGCAGUGGCCAUUGACGCCGGAAUCUUGGGCGGGGCCUUUUCCUAUGAGGCCGGACCAGAGGUGCCCAAGGUUUCUCCUCAAAGAGAAUCGAUGCUGUCAUGCUCUAUGGAUGGGAAAAAAAGCAAGAAAAUAAAAGCACCUGGUACAGGUUUCAUGAGAUCCAUUCGGAUUCGCUAUGUUCCAAACCCGCUGCUGAAUGCCAUUUGUCCACUUUGUGUGUGUAGAACAGUUUGUGGCCUAGGAGUCAGUCUCAAUUCGAAGAACUGUUAUUGGAUGCCCCAGAGGUUGACGCGAUAGCAGCUCCAGCAGGGCUACUCGUGGAGACCGACUUUCGGAUGUGAGGCAGCAAGUAGGGGUCACAGGCCAGCUGCUGGACAUCGAUGCGGUCCUCCUUUCGGUAGGCCAAGCAUCGCCGAAUAAAUGCCUGAAAGGAAAGUUUCUUGAAGUAGCCUGAACCAGAUAAUCCUGGCAACCCAAAAAGGAAACUAGAGGCUCUGGAGCAGCUGCCAGUGCCCAGAGCAAACAUUUCCUAGAAAAGGGGCUUCGGGCCUUUCCUGGAAACCAUGGCUAGACGCAGAGGAGAGGGGAUGACUCGCACCACAGUGUGCCACCAGCAGCAGCAGCAGCAGCAGCAGCUCUCUGUGCCCACUGACUCCUUCCCGCAAAGAGGCAGCUGAACCAUUUCUGAGGGCAACAGGGGCGUGACUGCUAACUGCCACUGCCCCAAAGGAGAAAGACCAACACAAUCAUCUCCGCCGAUUGGUCUGCACAGGCACCCUCACUUCAAGGUUUGGGAUCUAGAAACCAUGGCCUCUGGUGAACUUCCUGAGGAAGUAGAAAUUUUAAUGACAUACUAGCCACAGACGCAGACGAGGGGACACAAUACAGUGUGUCACAGACUGGUGCGUGUUUGCCCUUUGGGUCUCAUCCUCUCCCGAAAGGCCAUUAAGCAAAGGAUUGGGUACACAGGCAUGUAGUAAAAGAAAACCUGAACAGGACUUGCCUCCUGAGAGGACUACAGAGACAUUCUGUGAGUACGGCUAGGCUUGAAAUUCUAAUUUCUGCCAACAUAGAGGUUUCCUUUGCCUCAGUACAAGGGCUACCUGGUGUCAGUUUCCACAGCUCUUAGGAAAGUCCUUAAAGAGACUAUCAGUCUUUUCCUAAUUUUUAACUAGAGAACUCUAUUUAAUCAGUCUUGUAAUUAUUUUUAAAUGACCAGCUUUUAAAAAUAUAAAAUGUCACUACUACCCAACUAUCCAAGUCUGUACGUUACAGUGGGGCAACGAUAAUGUCUGAUGCGGGUUCACUAAUGGCACAAAUGCACAGCGCUCUGCUCUGGGGUAUUGACAGUGGGGGAAGGGGGCUUGGCUCAGCCCAUGGAAAGUGUAUGGACAUGCUGUAUUUUCCCUCCAUUUUGCUGUGAAUCUAAAACUGCUCUUAAAAAACAACAAAAAGAUCUAUUUAGAAACGAGCUACUUAUUUUCUGUUUUUUCCAUAUUUAAUUAACAAAUACACAAAGUAUAAUACCAAUCCUGGCUCUUCAAAAUCAAAGACACCUAUAGGUAGUUGCUGAUUUGUUUGCAUUUGGAAAAUAUAAACAAAUUCACAGAAAUGAACAUAAGAAUCCUCUGUCUUUAAAAAAGAACCAUUUUUAGUAAGAUACCUGGAACUGGAGCGGAACAGCUUAUCUUGGGUUGGAUACCAGUCAAAUAAACUCCUUUUACCUUGAAGUUUCUCUCUACACAUCUGCCAGUGUGGGUUCACAUGGCUGCCCCAAUCAAACUUACUUCAGCAGUCCCUCAUGCCUCACAAUCAGCUGUGCUGCCUCUCCUGCCACUCUGCCCUGCAGUUUUGCCAAGUCCACAUUCACACCAGAGCUUCAUUCACCUCUCUCUGCUUGGAAUAUUAUUCUUCUCCCAACUCUACACACAGCUCCCAUCCUCACAUCACUCAUGAUUGCUCAACUGCUCACUUCAUUGCUGAGGCUUUCCCUGCCCAUGCCGUCAAAAAAGGGGUUCCCACCUCUCCACCCCCAUACUUGGAUUUAUUUUCUUCCUAACAUUUAUCACCAUCUGGAAUCUAUCUGUUUUUAGUUAUUGUUUUGUCUCCCCUAGUGGAAUGUAAAUUCCUUUAGAGCAGGGACCUCAUCUGUGUCAUUUACGGCUACCUGAUUCACAGUUCAUCUCCACUGCCUGGAACAGUGUCUCUAGUGUUUAACAGGUACUUAAUAAAUAAUUGUCAUGGGAGGAGAUGGGACAAAAGAUUAAGGAUUGAAGAAAUACAUUUAGAAGGAGGAUUUUUUAACUGAUGAAAUUUGUAUUGAAUAGUCUACCCACUAUUACCCAGAGAAAUAAAACAGAAGACAAAGCAACUGUUUUUGCUGGUCAUGGAGCCAGACCUUACCUUUGCUUCAGGUGUUACUACUGGCUUUGGCGGGAACUGCACUUCAGUAGCUUUAAGAAUAGUAUUUUCUUGUAGAAUGUCUUGCUGGGACUGGUUAUGGCCAAAGGGCUAUCAGAUAAAAACAAAACAAAUGAAUGAAACAAAGAUGGGUACCUGGUUAAAAUGAAAGAGAACACAAUUCAAAAUCAUAGGGAAGGGAAAGACAUGUCUCAGUGAGACUGCUAGAACAACUAAUGCUCCCAUUUUACAGAUAAAGGGUAGAAGGUUCAGAGCUUAAGGGACUUACUCAGAGCCCAACACCUAGGCUAACGCAGAGCUGGAACUAGAACCAGCAUCUGCCAUGUCUGUACUCCCUCUGCUAGCUUUGCAUAUAGCCAAGAAAAGGAUUCAGAGUGACAAGCAGCAGCUUCUUUUGCCCUGAGAGCUACGUGUGGGCCUAAGUUGUACUCAUGGGUACCACCAGCAGACCCAAGACCCAGGUGAAGGGGGAUGGAAAAAGAAGCAGCAGGGGCAAGAACAAAGAGGGGGAAAGAAGAGUUUUGGUACUAUGUAGUGGCUUCCUCUAUGCCUCAAAUUGCCAUUUUCCAGUAAACUCUUAAAAACUAAGUUCAGUGUAAUGUUAUCUCUACAUAGUUUCUAUUAAAAGCUUAUAAACAGGGCCUCCCCGAUGGCGCAGCGGUUGAGCGCUGGGUUGCAAAGCUGCCCGCAGCCUCUGCAGCGCCGGUUCAAUCCCUGGCUACAACCUGGCCACCAGAGGAGGGUCCUGCAUGGUGCGCAGACCUCUCCUGCCGCCCACUGCUCCCCUCAGCAGUGUACUUGGGUCCUUCUGCCUGCUCUGCUCCCCGCUCUGGCUCUGGUGAAUUCUCUCACCCUCCCGCGUUUCUGACUGUACCCAGUGCUUGUA